CAAUAAGCGGAGGAAAAGAAACCAACAGGGAUUGCCCCAGUAACGGCGAAGUGAAGCGGCAAGAGCUCAAAUUUGAAAGCUGGCUCCUUCGGGGUCCGCAUUGUAAUUUGCAGAGGAUGCUUCGGCAGCGGUCCCCGUCUAAGUACCCUGGAACGGGUCGUCAUAGAGGGUGAGAAUCCCGUAUGGGACGGGGUGCCCGCUACCGUGUGAAGCUCCUUCGACGAGUCGAGUUGUUUGGGAAUGCAGCUCUAAAUGGGUGGUAAAUUUCAUCUAAAGCUAAAUAUUGGCCGGAGACCGAUAGCGCACAAGUAGAGUGAUCGAAAGAUGAAAAGCACUUUGAAAAGAGAGUUAAAAAGCACGUGAAAUUGUUGAAAGGGAAGCGCUUGCGACCAGACUCGCCCACGGGGUUCAGCCGGCAUUCGUGCCGGUGUACUUCCCCGCGGGCGGGCCAGCGUCGGUUUGGGCGGCCGGUCAAAGGCCCUCGGAAUGUAACGCCCCCCGGGGCGUCUUAUAGCCGAGGGUGCCAUGCGGCCUGCCCGGACCGAGGAACGCGCUUCGGCUCGGACGCUGGCAUAAUGGUCGUAAGCGACCCGUCUUGAAACACGGACCAAGGAGUCUAACAUCUACGCGAGUGUUCGGGUGUCAAACCCGUGCGCGCAGUGAAAGCGAACGGAGGUGGGAACCCUCACGGGUGCACCAUCGACCGAUCCUGAUGUCUUCGGAUGGAUUUGAGUAAGAGCGUAGCUGUUGGGACCCGAAAGAUGGUGAACUAUGCCUGAAUAGGGCGAAGCCAGAGGAAACUCUGGUGGAGGCUCGCAGCGGUUCUGACGUGCAAAUCGAUCGUCGAAUUUGGGUAUAGGGGGCGAAAGACUAAUCGAACCAUCUAGUAGCUGGUCUG
rnacentral:rRNA from 1 species